rnacentral:precursor_RNA from 1 species
AGCGGUAAGGGUGCUCACGAAGGGCUUUUAAGUGCGGGACUAAUACUCAAAAAACCCUUCAUAAAAAGGCCGUGCGUGACAAUCCUCAAGCA